GCUACUGUCAUUGAAGAGAUAAAUUUGAAGGGUCGACGAGGCGGUGGGUCUACUUGUAUAGAUUUUAACUACAGAGGGAAUAUGAUUUAUUGGUCUGAUUUAUAUACAAGGGACGUUUAUAGUUUAAAAGCUGGUGGUGGUGAUCCAGAACAGAAGGUUAUAUUGGAAGGUGGUUUGGGUUACCCGGAAGGUCUGGCGUAUGAUUGGAUACAUAAUAAUUUAUACGUCAGUGACAGUAAACUACAUAAACUCAUAGUAAUCAACCCAGAAACUGGAGCCAGGAAAACAUUAACUUAUGUACAUCGUGUUCGAGAUUUAGAAGUGGAUCCUAAAACUGGUUGGUUAUAUUGGAUAGCUGGAUGGGAAUAUCCAGCCAUGUUAAUGAAGUCAACAUUGGAUGGACAGAACCGAGUUGAAAUAUCUUCUGACUUAGAAC